AACGAACGCUGGCGGCAUGCCUAACACAUGCAAGUCGAACGAGACCUUCGGGUCUAGUGGCGCACGGGUGCGUAACGCGUGGGAACCUGCCUUUAGGUUCGGAAUAACUCAGAGAAAUUUGAGCUAAUACCGGAUGAUGUCUUCGGACCAAAGAUUUAUCGCCUUUAGAUGGGCCCGCGUUGGAUUAGCUAGUUGGUGGGGUAAAGGCCUACCAAGGCGACGAUCCAUAGCUGGUCUGAGAGGAUGAUCAGCCACACUGGGACUGAGACACGGCCCAGACUCCUACGGGAGGCAGCAGUAUUGAAUAUUGGACAAUGGGCGAAAGCCUGAUCCAGCAAUGCCGCGUGAGUGAUGAAGGCCUUAGGGUUGUAAAGCUCUUUUACCCGAGAUGAUAAUGACAGUAGCGGGAGAAUAAGCUCCGGCUAACUCCGUG
rnacentral:rRNA from 1 species